rnacentral:rRNA from 1 species
CGGAUCGUAGCGACUAAGGCACGCCUGCCCGGUGACAAUUAAACGGCCGCGGUACCCUAACCGUGCAAAGGUACGCAAUCACUUGUCUAUUAAUUGUAGACCUGUAUGAAAGGCAWAAUGAGGGCCUAACUGUCUCUUACAACUAAUCAAUUAAACUGAUCUCCCAGUACAAAAGCUGGAAUAAAAACAUAAGACCAKAAGACCCUGUGAAGCUUAAACUAAACUAUCAAACCACAUGAUAACUAAUUUCGGUUGGGGCGACCUUGGAAACAAAAAGAACUUCCRAACAUAAUUCUUAAUAAAAGAAACAAAAGGCUGACAAGCCAAAUAACGACCCAKCAUCGCUGAAAAUGAAACAAGUUACUCCGGGAAACAGCGCUAUCUUCUUUAAAUCCUAUCAAAAAAGGUUACGACCUCGAUGUGGAUCAGACWCCUAUGKGACCCUWUAAGKUCUUUGUCACAUAWAUCCMCKGUCKGKUCAACCGG